GUCACUUAAAGAAAGUUGAACAAAGUGUUUCUCAGCUGAAAACAAAUCAGAAAGCAUCAACACGCCGGUAUGCGAAUACUUCGUUGACGGAUGGCACUUCACUAACAGAGAACAACAAAAGCCACGCGCGAGAGGAUGAGUGAAUCGGAGCUUAUGAAUUCCGCCGACGGUUCGUUGUUGGACAUUAGUUUAGAAGAAGAAUUGUGUACUAGCGAACGGUUCUCGUGUGUAAUUUGUGAGGCCAGUUAUGCUAGGAAAGCCUACUUGAAUCGUCAUUUGAAGACACAUGAGGAUGGAUGCAUAAAGUGCUCAGUGUGCACUCAGUUCUUUAAGACUGAGGAAGAUAAAAGGAAACACAUCGAGGACAAACAUAGGCCAAUCAUGUGCGAAAGUUCUGGAAAGGUUUUUUCCACUCGUAACUAUAUGGAAUUCCACAAGAAAACCCAUGAGGUAGAGGUUGUGAACUAUGACAAGAAAUGUCCAUUUCCAAACUGUGGGAAGAUAUAUUGGCAGAAUUCUAAAUUUCAAGACCAUUUGAUGAUGCGAUUCAAAUAAGCACAGCCGACAUAGGAUUUUAUGAAGAACAGAUGUGUAUUUGCCUCAUAAAGACCCCUUCACUACCGUUA